GAGUGCCUUUCGAGCGCAAUUCCGAAAGGGUGAAACGACUGCGGCAUGAUUAUGCAGAGAGAGUUUUACAAAUGGAUGGAGAGGAGAUCCAGCAUGAGUUCAUUUACGUAGAUGAGGCUGGGUUCAACCUGACGAGAACACGAAGGAGGGGAAGAAACAUCAUUGGCCACAGGGCUAUAGUCAAUGUCCCAGGGCAACGUGGGGAAGAGUUUUUCUCGGCAUGGCGGUGGAAGGUAUAU